UACGUAGGGUGCGAGCGUUGUCCGGAAUUAUUGGGCGUAAAGAGCUUGUAGGCGGUUUGUCGCGUCUGCCGUGAAAAUCCGAGGCUCAACCUCGGACUUGCGGUGGGUACGGGCAGACUAGAGUGGGGUAGGGGAGACUGGAAUUCCUGGUGUAGCGGUGAAAUGCGCAGAUAUCAGGAGGAACACCGAUGGCGAAGGCAGGUCUCUGGGCCACUACUGACGCUGAGAAGCGAAAGCAUGGGGAGCGAACAGG
rnacentral:rRNA from 1 species